UACGUAGGGUGCAAGCGUGUCCGGAAUUAUUGGGCGUAAAGAGCUCGUAGGCGGUCUGUUACGUCGGCUGUGAAAACCUAAGGCUCAACCUUGGGCUUGCAGUGGGUACGGGCAGACUAGAGUGCGGUAGGGGUGACUGGAAUUCCUGGUGUAGCGGUGGAAUGCGCAGAUAUCAGGAGGAACACCGAGUGGCGAAGGCAGGUCACCUGG
rnacentral:rRNA from 1 species